GGAAACUUGAAAACUACCGUUGGAUCGAGAAAUGGACGUCCGAGAUUCGUCCACGUCACCAUGAGUUAAAAUUUAACUCCUAGUAAAAUUUUAACUCAUGAGUGAAUCUGCGAGUUAAAUUUUAACUCAUGGUGACGUGGAUGAAUCUCAGACAUCCAUUUCUCGAUCCAACGGUAGUUUCCAAGUUUUC
rnacentral:pre_miRNA from 1 species